UUUUCAGAAUUCCACUGAUUUUCUUGUGCUUAUGGAGCAGCCACAAUAAUUAGUUCGCUAACACUAUGCCUAAUUAAAGACCAACAUGUGUAACACCCUAUGAAAUUUGUCAAGGCUAUGUUUUAUGGCCUGCUAAGGGUCUAAUGUUGCAGAGUUAUGAUUUGGUGGCAUGACUUCUUCCACUCCUCUCUGCUAAUGAUUAGAUUAGAAUUUCCACAAUAAUUGUCUAGUAGGAUGGUAAGACAAGAUACCGAUUUGGUUGAUGAACUAGAAAAGAAAUCUAGUCCCAUGAUUCCAGGGUGUCGUAGCUCUCUUUCAUUGGGGGGG
rnacentral:lncRNA from 1 species